rnacentral:rRNA from 1 species
CUACGGGUUGCAGCAGUGGGGAAUAUUGCACAAUGGGCGCAAGCCUGAUGCAGCAACGCCGCGUGAGGGAUGAAGGCCUUCGGGUUGUAAACCUCUUUUAGCAGGGAAGAAGCGAAAGUGACGGUACCUGCAGAAAAAGCACCGGCUAACUACGUGCCAGCAGCCGCGGUAAUACGUAGGGUGCAAGCGUUGUCCGGAAUUAUUGGGCGUAAAGAGCUCGUAGGCGGUUUGUCACGUCUGCUGUGAAAAUCCAAGGCUCAACCUUGGACUUGCAGUGGGUACGGGCAGGCUAGAGUGCGGUAGGGGAGAUGGGAAUUCCUGGUGUAGCGGUGGAAUGCGCAGAUAUCAGGAGGAACACCAAUGGCGAAGGCACAUCUCUGGGCCGUAACUGACGCUGAGGAGCGGAAGCGUGGGGAGCGAACAGGAUUAGAUACCCGGGUAGUC